rnacentral:lncRNA from 1 species
UUUUUACUUCUAGAGUUUGUUUCAAUAUUUUGGCAUGUUCUUUCUAGUUACUUGAGUAUCAAUUACUUGAUUUUCUCCGUGUGUGAUAUGUGAAACUUGCAGUGCAAUAGCUUGUUGCACUCAUGUGAUCAAGAGGCAAAGGAAGGGAACGCACACUUUUUGACCGUGUUCUUUGGUUCGACCCAACCGAGAGGUAUUGAGCCAAACACUCAUUUUUUUUUCUUCUAUGUGUGAUAUCCACUCAUGUAUUGUCUCUCGAUUUUGCUUGUCGUCUUUGUAUUUGAUUGGUACUUUUGUAGCACACACGAGGCAUGUUU